GGGGAUAUAGCUCGUUGGUAGAGUGCUUGCCUUGCAUGCACAGGGCCCUGGGUUUGAUCCCUAGUACCCCCC
rnacentral:tRNA from 1 species